UUUCCCAUUGUGAAUGUAAGGCAGUCACAGC
rnacentral:piRNA from 1 species